rnacentral:rRNA from 1 species
GACAGAGGGGGCAAGCGUUGCUCGGAAUCACUGGGCGUAAAGGGCGCGUAGGCGGGAUGGCAAGUCAGUCGUGAAAUCUCUCGGCUCAACCGAGAAACGUCGGCUGAUACUGCCGUUCUUGAGGGAUGCAGAGGAGAGCGGAAUUCCUGGUGUAGCGGUGAAAUGCGCAGAUAUCAGGAGGAACACCCGUGGCGAAGGCGGCUCUCUGGGACGGUACUGACGCUGAGACGCGAAAGCGUGGGGAGCGAACAGG